GGGAAGGUCACUGGGUGGCCUCUAGGAUUCCUGAGUCUGCAGUGCAUGGCUGAAUGUGAGCAGCACCUAGGCUGAGUCUGCCCCUCCCUCUGGUCUCCUUCCAACCCCUCAAGGGACUGAUGGAAAACUGAGUGGGUCCUGCCUCUUCCCCUGCCUGGGGGUACCUCUGCAGCAUCAUUGUCAGUGGUGACCACCAAAAUUAUCCAGUUCCAGCAUGGUCAAGAAGCUGAAUGUUCUCCUGCAGCCCCCAGGGUACCACGCACGGGGCUGGGCACACUGCAGGCUCCCAACAUAUGGAGAAGGCAGGGAAGCCAUCCUCUCCCAGGAAGGACAGAGUGUCCCUCCGUCCAGCCACUCUGCCUGCCUCCUCCAGCAGGACAUCAUAGAAAUCACAGCAUCUUGGGACAGACAGACAAACGCCUGAUCUCUAUGGCUGGGUUGUGGAGAGGACAGUGAGAAGAGACUACAAGGAGUAAAACAGUAGCAGAGACAAGGAGGGGGCUCCCCUGCAACCCCUGAGCUCUGGCCCACACCUCCUUUUCUCCCACGCGUUCCCUCCAGGGCAUCUCAGAUCCAUUCAACUGUGUGGGUUGAAUGGCAGCCCUCAAAAUAUACGUCCUCGCGCUAAUCCCCAGCCCCUAUGAAUGGGACCUAAAAGGGUCUUUGCAGAUGUGAUUAAAUUAAAGAACUUGAGAUGAGA